rnacentral:pre_miRNA from 1 species
GAACUACUCCCUCCGUUCCGAAUUACUUGUCUUGGAUUUGUCUACAUACGGAUGUAUCUAGACUCAUUUUAGUGCUAGAUACAUCCGUAUCUAGACAAAUCUAAGACAAGUAAUUCGGAACGGAGGAAGUACAUA